GCCUUUUUAGCGCAGUAGGAAGCGCGUCAGUCUCAUAAUCAAAUCUAGAAAUCUGAAGGUCGUGAGUUCGAGCCUCACACAGGGCA
rfam:Nematostella vectensis strain CH2 x CH6 NEMVEscaffold_409_Cont26452, whole genome shotgun sequence.